ACGGUCCUAAGGUAGCGAAAUUCCUUGUCGGGUAAGUUCCGACCCGCACGAAAGGUGUAACGAUUUGGGCACUGUCUCAACGAGGGACCCGGUGAAAUUGAAAUACCUGUGAAGAUGCAGGUUACCCGCGACUGGACAGAAAGACCCCAUGGAGCUUUACUGUAACCUGACAUUGGGUUUUGUUGUAUUACGUACAGGAUAGGUGGGAGGCUUAGAAGGCUGGACGCUAGUCUGGCUGGAGCCGGCGUUGGGAUACCACCCUUGAUACAACGGAAUUCUAACCGAGAGAGUAACGAAAUCCGGGACAGUGUCAGGCGGGCAGUUUGACUGGGGCGGUCGCCUCCGAAAGAGUAACGGAGGCGCCCAAAGGUUCCCUCAGCGCGGCCGGAAAUCGCGCGAAGAGUGUAAAGGCAGAAGGGAGCUUGACUGCGAGCCAAACACGGCGAGCAGGUACGAAAGUAGGGCUUAGUGAUCCGGUGGUACCGAGUGGAAGGGCCAUCGCUCAACGGAUAAAAGCUACCCUGGGGAUAACAGGCUAAUCUCUCCCAAGAGUCCAUAUCGACGGGGAGGUUUGGCACCUCGAUGUCGGCUCAUCACAUCCUGGGGCUGAAGUCGGUCCCAAGGGUUGGGCUGUUCGCCCAUUAAAGUGGUACGCGAGCUGGGUUCAGAACGUCGUGAGACAGUUCGGUCCCUAUCCAUCGCGGGCGCAAGAGAUUUGAAGGGGUCUGCUCCUAGUACGAGAGGACCGGAGUGGACGGACCGCUGGUGUACCAGUUAUUCCGCCAGGAGUACAGCUGGGUAGCUACGUCCGGACUGGAUAAACGCUGAAAGCAUCUAAGCGUGAAGCCAUCCUUAAGAUGAGAUCUCUCACAGAGUAAUCUGGUAAGACACCUUAAAGAAGAUGAGGUAGAUAGGCCGGGAGUGUAAGUGCAGCAAUGUAUUGAGCUGACCGGUACUAAUAUGUCGAGGGCUUGACUUC
rnacentral:rRNA from 1 species